AGGAUGUUCGGUAUUUGGUUGAGGACAUUCAAGAAUUGAAGCCAACAAUCUUUUGUGGUGUUCCUCAAGUUUAUGAUUGUAUAUACAUAGGUAUAAAUGACAAAAUUUCAUUUGGAGGAGCAUUCAAAAGGAGACUAUUUCAAUGUGCUUAUAACUGUUAUUUGAAGAGUUUGAAUAAGGGAUUGAAACAGGACAAAGUAGCAGCUUUCUGUGAUAGGGUUGUCUUCAACAGAAUCAAACAAGGGUUAGGAGGACGGGUGCGCAUCAUGUUAUCUGGAGCA